rnacentral:rRNA from 1 species
CCAGGUUGAAGUGGAAGUAAAAUUCCAUGGAGGACCGAACCAGACGUCUGUUGAAAAAGGCGGGGAUGAGCUGUGGAUAGGGGAGAAAUUCCAAUCGAACCCGGAGAUAGCUGGUUCUCCUCGAAAUAGCUUUAGGGCUAGCCUCAUGGAUCAUUGAUGGGGGUAGAGCACUGAAUGUGCGCGGGGGCGAGAGUCUACCAAACACUAUCAAACUUCGAAUGCCGUUGAAUGCAGACCAUGGGAGUCAGUCCGCUAGAGAUAAGUUCCGCGGGCAAAAGGGAAACACCCCAGAUCAACCGCUAAGGUCCCAAAGUACACGUUAAGUGGAGAAGGAUGUGGAAUUGCACAGACAACCAGGAUGUUGGCUCAGAAGCAGCCACACAUUUAAAGAGUGCGUAAUAGCUCACUGGUCGAGUGGUUGUGCGCCGAAAAUGUCCGGGGCUAAAACGUGACACCGAAGCGAUGGAUGCGCUGCUAUGAUCUCUGCAGUCGGAGGACAAUCCUCGACAUGCAGAGCAUGUCGAGUAAAUGCUAAAAAGGAAAAAGCAUGACACCGAAGGUAGAGAUCAUAGCAGCGCGUGGUAGAGGAGCGUUGUAUAGAGGCUGAAGCCGUAUCGAGAGGCACGGUGGACACUAUACAAGAGAGAAUGCCGGUAUGAGUAGCGAGAGCGUAGCGAGAAACUACGCCGUCGAAAGCCCAAGGUUUCCUGGGGAAGGUUCAUCCACCCAGGGUAAGUCGGGGCCUAAGCCAAGGACGGAAGUCGUAGGCGAUGGACAGCAGGUGUAUAUUCCUGCACUACCGAGGAAUGAGGCAGUGACACAGAAGGAUAACCCGAGCGGGGUGAUGGUCAACUCCGUGCAAGCAUUAAGCCUGGGGGUAUAGUGAAGUACGUACCUCUAAAAAGCGAGAUGUGAUGCGGACCGAAAUUAAGUAGGGAAGCGGGUGAGUUCACGCUGGCGAGAAAAGCUGCUAGUAUAUCCGAAGGUACCCGUACCGGAAACCGACGCAGGUGGGCGAGGAGAGAAUCCUGAGACGAACGGGAGAACCCUUGUUAAGGAACUCGGCAAAAUGACCCCGUAACUUCGGGAUAAGGGGUGCCACGAGAGUGGCCGCAGAGAAUAGGCUCAAGCGACUGUUUAGCAAAAACACAGGUAUCUGCGAAAGAGAGAUCUGACGUAUAGGUGCUGACACCUGCCCGGUGCUGGAAGGUUAAGGGAACAUGUUAGAGCAAUCGAAGCAUCGAACCGAAGCCCCAGUAAACGGCGGCCGUAACUAUAACGGUCCUAAGGUAGCGAAAUUCCUUGUCGGGUAAGUUCCGACCCGCACGAAUGGUGUAACGAUUUGAGCGCUGUCUCAACAGGGGGCCCGGUGAAAUUGAAGUAUGGGUGAAGAUGCCCAUUACCCGCGACUGGACGGAAAGACCCCGUAGAGCUUUACUGUAGCCUGAUAUUGGAUUUCGGUAACGGAUGCACAGGAUAGGUGGGAGGCUGAGAAGCAGGGACUUCGGUAACUGUGGAGCCGCCGUUGGGAUACCACUCUUCUGUUACUGGAAUUCUAACAUGGACCCGUAAACCGGGUAAUGGACAGUGUCAGGUGGACAGUUUGACUGGGGCGGUCGCCUCCGAAAGAGUAACGGAGGCGCCCAAAGGUACCCUCAGAAUGGAUGGAAAUCAUUCGAAGAGUGCAAAGGCAGAAGGGUGCCUGACUGCGAGAGUGACAAUUCGAGCAGAGACGAAAGUCGGGCUUAGUGAUCCGGCGGUAUUGAGUGGAAAAGCCGUCGCUUAACGGAUAAAAGCUACCUCGGGGAUAACAGGCUGAUCUCCCCCAAGAGUCCACAUCGACGGGGAGGUUUGGCACCUCGAUGUCGGCUCGUCGCAUCCUGGGGCUGAAGCAGGUCCCAAGGGUUUGGCUGUUCGCCAAUUAAAGCGGCACGCGAGCUGGGUUCAGAACGUCGUGAGACAGUUCGGUCCCUAUCCAUCGUGGGCGUAGGAGUCAUGAGAGGAGCUGUUCCUAGUACGAGAGGACCGGAAUGGACGCAUCACUGGUGCAACUGUUGUCGUGCCAACGGCACAGCAGGGAAGCGAAAUGCGGAUGGGAUAAACGCUGAAGGCAUCUAAGCGUGAAGCCCACCUCAAGAAUAAGACUCCCAUUGCGCAAGCAAGUAAGACCCCCGGAAGACGACCGGGUAGAUAGGUCAUCGGUGGAAGUUCGGUAACGGAUGGAGCUUGAUGAUACUAAUAGGUCGAGGGCUUGAUUU